rnacentral:rRNA from 1 species
UACGAAGGGGGCUAGCGUUGCUCGGAAUCACUGGGCGUAAAGGGUGCGUAGGCGGGUCUUUAAGUCAGGGGUGAAAUCCUGGAGCUCAACUCCAGAACUGCCUUUGAUACUGAAGAUCUUGAGUUCGGGAGAGGUGAGUGGAACUGCGAGUGUAGAGGUGAAAUUCGUAGAUACUGGGAAGAACGCCGGUGGCGAAGGCGGCUCUCUGGACCGUAACUGACGCUGAGGCGCGAAAGCGUGGGGAGCAAACAGG